UACGGAGGAUCCAAGCGUUAUCCGGAUUCAUUGGGUUUAAAGGGCGCGUAGGCGGCCACCGCAAGUCGACUGUGAAAUCUCCGGGCUUAACCCGGAAAGGUCAGCCGAUACUGCGGGGCUAGAGUGCAGAAGGGGCAACUGGAAUUCUCGGUGUAGCGGUGAAAUGCGUAGAUAUCGAGAGGAACACCUGCGGCGAAGGCGGGUUGCUGGGCUGACACUGACGCUGAGGCGCGAAAGCUAGGGGAGCGAACGGG
rnacentral:rRNA from 1 species